AGCGAACGUUUGCGGCGGGCCUAACACAUGCAAGUCGAACGCACUAGCAAUAGUGAGUGGCGCACGGGUGCGUAACACGUGGGUAAUCAACCCUUCAGCCUGGGAUAACGACUCGAAAGGGUCGCUAAUACCGGAUACGGCGCGAGAGGCUUCGGCUUCUCACGAGAAAGCCACGCAAGGGGCACUGAAGGACGAGCCUGCGGCCCACCAGCUAGUUGGUGAGGUAAGAGCUCACCAAGGCUAAGACGGGUAGCUGGUCUGAGAGGAUGAUCAGCCACACUGGAACUGAGACACGGUCCAGACUCCUACGGGAGGCAGCAGUGGGGAAUAUUGCGCAAUGGGCGAAAGCCUGACGCAGCCACGCCGCGUGAGCGAUGAAGGCCUCGGUCGUAAGACUCUGUGGGAGGAGACGAAGAAAGACUCGUGAAGAGCAGGCCGUUGACGGUAGUCUCCUUAG
rnacentral:rRNA from 1 species